AUACGGAGGGUGCAAGCGUUGUUCGGAAUCACUGGGCGUAAAGGGCGCGCAGGCGGUUGGGUAAGUCAGAUGUGAAAGCCCACGGCCCAACCGUGGAAGUGCAUUUGAAACUGCCAGACUUGAGUACCAGAGGGGAAAGUGGAAUUCCCGGUGUAGAGGUGAAAUUCGUAGAUAUCGGGAGGAAUACCGGUUGCGAAGGCGACUUUCUGGCUGGAUACUGACGCUGAGGCGCGAAAGCGUGGGGAGCAAACAGGAUUAGAAACCCGAGUAGUCC
rnacentral:rRNA from 1 species